AUGUGCGGCAUCCUCGCCGUCCUCGGUGUCGGCGACGUCUCCCUCGCCAAGCGCUCGCGCAUCGUGGAGCUCUCCCGCCGAUUACGGCACAGAGGCCCUGAUUGGAGUGGUAUACACAGCUUUGAGGAUUGCUAUCUUGCACAGCAGCGGUUGGCUAUUGUUGAUCCCACAUCUGGAGACCAGCCAUUGUACAACGAGGACAAAACAGUUGUUGUGACGGUCAGUAUCUGGAGUGAGAAUGACACUUUUUCAUCGACAUCAUCUAGUGGACAAAGAGUGUUGUUGACAGUGUGA
rnacentral:rRNA from 1 species